rnacentral:lncRNA from 1 species
GUACCCUCAGGAUUUCCCUGCGACUGCCUGGAUGCUUUCCUGAUGUUUGAUGCUGUUCUGUAAAAUCUUGGCUUUCUCGCCAUCCGAGGCUUGGCCCUAGCCCUGCGCGGCUUCCCUCGCGGCUGCUAACCCUCUGCCUGCGCCCAGCCCAGCCACAAUGGGGACUGCUCAGGUUUUGCCUGGCAUUCUGCAGAAGCAUUGCUGUAUCUUACCAGACAGGAAUACAGAUGAAGACCCCCAGGCCCAGGGAAUUCGAUCACUGGCUGAGAACUCACAGCUAAGGAGGGGGAGCCUGGGAUUCCUUCCUGGUGCUCACACCCGAGACCCUUUUGUCACUGUGUUCAAAGGCACUGCUGCACAGACGUGAUUCUUCUUUCAACGAACAUCUCCAGGACUUCCUCCGGGGUCUGUGACCUCAUCUAUAAUUAAAGGGAAAGAGAUCUUCCUGAGAUUAGCCCAUUUAACUUGUUUAACUAGAUGCAUGCUGCAAAAACUGUUUUCAAGAAAUGAACAAUUGACUAUUUAAAAAGAGCCAAGCCUUAAAAGAAGACCAGGUUUUAAUAGGGAAAACAUUCAGUAAAAUAUUAUUCUGCAGUAACUUGUGGAAUGACUGCUGUACACACAGCUCUGGGCUGGGUACCUGGAAGCUCACGAGCUUGUUUGGCCUCCCCUCCUGGACACAGGAGGUGUCAAGGCUGUGGUCAGCAGAAUCUACCCAGCUGGACACUGAGUGGACGCCCUGUGGGGUGGCUGUGAAAUGGGUCCACUUUGUAGUGGCAGCAUCCCUGAUAGUACUUCUGAAAGGGACAAGAUAGAAAAGCAAACCAAACUGAAACUGAGAAGUCGUGGAUGAUACCAGGGGCGCACAGUGGCUGACAGGAAGAGACUGCCUGGGGGGUCUCGGAGCCAGUGGCUGGAGUGGAGUUAGUUUGACCGAGUCCUGGACUAGGGAGGGGACCCCCAAAGCAUGCCCAGCAUGGCGCUAGUGGGGCCCAGGCACCCCAUGUCCCAACGACUAGAACCAAUAAUCAGGUUAACACUCAUUAAAUAAGAAGUGUCUGUGCCUCCUGGGAUAAAAAUCCUUUAUAACGAUCUGGGACGCGAGCUCAAGUCCCUGUUCCCUUGUCCUCCACAGCAGUGUGCAGCGUGGAACUCGGCGGUUCGGGGUCCCUGAGUCCCUGAGCCACUGUCUACCCCCUGCUCCAUCCCAAAUGCAGAGACCCCUGAGCACUCAUGUGGACAUGCCCCACCAUGCCCUGGCUGCUCCUUCAGGAUGGCGCAGGGCCACCGCUAUGGGAGGACUCUAAAGGGUGGGUCUCAAGCCCUCCUCUGCUUACCCUAAAUCAGGAGAGCAAACCGAAUGCACUGCCCUCUUCCUUCACUCCUGCAUCCCAUCCCCCGCUAUGGCCUCACUAUCAGGUCUGCUGUGUGCCAAAAUAUUUUACCAUGCCCUAAAAGUGAGAUGUUGGAAGUGGACAAGGAGGAAAUAUUUAUGAAUAUUUGAGUCUGUUAUUCUUUAUGUUAAGCAUUUUGGCUUCUGUUGUACUCCUAAAUCACUACUGAGAGCAGAGAAAGAGCUCUUUGUAGAAAUGAGAUGUGUUCCUGUGUGCUGCCUGUGACGCAUCCCGUUGUCACCGGAGUGCCGUGGCCCUAAGGAAUGACAGCAUUAAGGCAUGGACGUUAAAGAUGGACAAAAGAAUUGUUCACGGUGUUGUAUUUUAAAAUGACUAUGUGUAUGACAAUUAAACUAUUGUGUCUUCGUUUACUCCAUGUGUUCUGCCUGACAGCUGGG